AAGACAAAUACACAUGUACAUCCAAGACAAAUACACAUGUACAUCCAAGACAAAUACACAUGUACAUCCAAGACAAAUAAACAUGUACAUCCAAGACAUACACACAUGUACAUCCAAGACAAAUAAACAUGUACAUCAGCAGAAGCACACAAACAUUAACCCCUAUACUAAUGGUUCCUUUACCUCAGUGGAAUGAACAAAUUUCUUGAAAGACAUACACAUAUAAAACAAUGAGACAUAUAUUUGUCCUUGACAAUCAUGACAACUUAUUAAGAGUAGGCAGUUACAAAAUUUGGAUUUUUAUUGUAAUAAAUGACUUCUUUCUAAUUUUCGAUUUUAUUAUUUUGGCUUUUUGAGGUAAAAAAAAUGUAAAAUGUAAAGUAUUCUCAAAUAAAGAAUCUCUUUUUGAUUUUGCGUAAGAAUUGACUAUUCUAUUUCAUUAUUUGGCUGCAAGACAAACUUAGCUACCCUUAUCAUGAAACUGUUCUUCUGUUAUAAUGCACUUGUUUCAAGUAUAUUUUUUAGCGUUCAAAACCAUAUUAGCUAUCCUUGCUAGGAGUUCCUUGUUGAUACAUUAACAGCAAAACACUGCAAGAUUGAUUAAUUAAUUUCUUAAAACAAAUAAUUCUGCAUACUUAAAGGAAAAUGCACAUACAGGACAUCAAAAGCUGACAAGUUAAUGAUAUCAAAUCCCUGUCCACUUUCACUCUACUUUAAUGACCGACUAAAA
rnacentral:lncRNA from 1 species